GUGGGGAAUUUUGGACAAUGGGCGAAAGCCUGAUCCAGCAAUGCCGCGUGCAGGAUGAAGGCCCUCGGGUUGUAAACUGCUUUUGUACGGAACGAAAAGCCUGGGGCUAAUAUCCCCGGGUCAUGACGGUACCGUAAGAAUAAGCACCGGCUAACUACGUGCCCGCAGCCGCGGUAAUACGUAGGGUGCAAGCGUUAAUCGGAAUUACUGGGCGUAAAGCGUGCGCAGGCGGUUUUGUAAGACAGUGGUGAAAUCCCCGGGCUCAAGCUGGGAACUGGCAUGGUGACUGCAAGGCUAGAGUGCGGCAGAGGGGGAUGGAAUUCCGCGUGUAGCAGUGAAAUGCGUAGAGAUGCGGAGGAACACCGAUGGCGAAGGCAAUCCCCUGGGCCUGCACUGACGCUCAUGCACGAAAGCGUGGGGAGCAAACAGGAUUAGAUACCCCGGUAGUCC
rnacentral:rRNA from 1 species